GUUCAAUCCAGUCUUAAGGAUGAGUCGUUACUUGCUGAUGAAAGGCUUAAAGCUUUACAAGAGGAGGUACAUUUGCUUUGGGAUGUUUCGAGAAAGAACAACUUUGAACUUCACGUUUUGGAAUUGAAAGCGCAGGACGCUGAGGAAAGGCUCGAAGCUGUUACUUCGAAAGUUGAGAAG